CCUACGGGAGGCAGCAGUGAGGAAUAUUGGUCAAUGGGCGCGAGCCUGAACCAGCCAAGUCGCGUGAGGGAGUACUGCCCUAUGGGUUGUAAACCUCUUUUGUCGGGGAGCAAAAGCCGGACGUGUCCGGCUGUGAGAGUACCCGAAGAAAAAGCAUCGGCUAACUCCGUGCCAGCAGCCGCGGUAAUACGGAGGAUGCGAGCGUUAUCCGGAUUUAUUGGGUUUAAAGGGUGCGCAGGCGGAUUUUUAAGUCAGCGGUAAAAUCGUGGGGCUCAACCCCAUCCAGCCGUUGAAACUGGGGAUCUAGAGUGUGCGAGAGGUAUGCGGAAUGCGUGGUGUAGCGGUGAAAUGCAUAGAUAUCACGCAGAACCCCGAUUGCGAAGGCAGCAUACCGGUGCACAACUGACGCUCAGGCACGAAAGCGUGGGUAUCGAACAGGAUUAGAUACCCCAGUAGUC
rnacentral:rRNA from 1 species